rnacentral:rRNA from 1 species
UAGGGAAUCUUCGGCAAUGGGGGGAACCCUGACCGAGCAACGCCGCGUGAGUGAAGAAGGUUUUCGGAUCGUAAAGCUCUGUUGUUAAGGAAGAACGAGUGUGAGAAUGGAAAGUUCAUACUGUGACGGUACUUAACCAGAAAGGGACGGCUAACUACGUGCCAGCAGCCGCGGUAAUACGUAGGUCCCGAGCGUUGUCCGGAUUUAUUGGGCGUAAAGCGAGCGCAGGCGGUUAGAAAAGUCUGAAGUGAAAGGCAGUGGCUCAACCAUUGUAGGCUUUGGAAACUGUUUAACUUGAGUGCAGAAGGGGAGAGUGGAAUUCCAUGUGUAGCGGUGAAAUGCGUAGAUAUAUGGAGGAACACCGGUGGCUAAAGCGGCUCUCUGGUCUGUAACUGACGCUGAGGCUCGAAAGCGUGGGUAGCAAACAGG